ensembl:antisense Gm15541 predicted gene 15541
AUAUGCAGACCACGCCUACCUUCUUGCAAGCUGAGGCUCUUAGCUGCGGACAGGGUCUCAAGGCACUGGCUGUCUGUCCUGAAGCUCACUGUGAAGACCCUGAACUCACUGAUCCACCUGCCUCUGCUUCCCAAGAGCUAGGAUUAAAAGCCUGUGCUAUCACACCCAGCUUCCAGAAGAUUGCACUCAGGUCAUCAGACUUGGCAGCAAGCACCUGUACCCACUGAGCCCAUCUGCUGGCCCCUCUGCUGGGUUUCGUCAUCGUCAUCAUCGUCAUCGUCGUCAUCAUCACCAUCACCAUCAUCAUCCUCAUAAUCGAGGGCUGACUCCAAGAUCUUGUGCAUAUUAGGCUUCCAGGUGGGGAUACCAAGGCCCAGAGAAGCCGGGACAUGCCUUCUUGGCACCCUAACCUGUGGACACCCACCUCAGCGCUGCGGCUCCUGGCCUCCAUAGCUCUGCAGAGAGUCACCUGGGGCUCGAGCUCCCGUGUCCUCUCCUCCUUCUGCUGCAGGACCACCUUCAGCUCCUCAUGGAGCAGCUGCCGCUGAGCCUGGGGGUAUAAGAUGGAGGCCUGAGGCAAGGAGGGAUUGUCGGGUAGAGAUGGGGCUUGCCAGAGAGGUCGAGUGCAGGGAUGGCAUCAGGCGGGCGGAGAGUAGGGCCCCUCACCGCUUCUUGAGUGAUGGCCUUUUCUCCUGACAGGAGCCCCACUCGGGGUGAUGCACAGCUGUAAGCAGGAAUCUCACUCUUCCUUUGAGGUCUUGCUGCCUGCCAAGGAGAGAGAGACAAGGGGCGUGGGACAUCAGACAGACCCAGGGAAGAUAGAGAGGGGCAUGCGGAACCAGCCAGCUCUCACCUGAGGGUCACUUCCAGCUUCCUGGGCCUCCUGGGUCUGGGGCUCUAGGAAGAACAACACACACAGUAGUAUUAUCUCAUAUCCCCUGUGCUCGUUCUGACGAUUCUUUGUGCUCAAGUGCCUUACGGUUAUUUCCCAGGCCAGCCUGGAUAGCCUCCGUAGUGAGACACUGCCUCAAAAGCCUGAAUGCCGAGCCAGGAACGCUUGCCCGGUAGUACACACUGGCAGUCCCAUCAUGUCUGGUUUGUUCUGUGCUAGUGAGUCAAUCCCAGGGUUUUGCGCAUGCGAAGCUACCAUUUUACCACCUGAGCUACAUUCCUAGGCCUCGCUUUGAGUUUGAGACAGGGUCUUUGAACACAUUAGCCUCAAAUUCUCUAGGUAGCUGAAGAUGACUUUGAGCUAUUGCCCUCCUCCCACCCCAUUUCAGCCUCCCAAAUACCGGGGUCACAGGCAAAUGUCACCGUCUUUAGUUUACCAGACAGCUACUUUACUGAAAAUAUGCCGUCUCAGAGAAGCCAAGCAAAUUUGUACCGGUGUGGCACACAACCCAAGAAGAAGGCACAGAGAAGGCAGCCUCCAGCCGGGCCCUCCUGGUGACAUGGAGGAGGUGACUGUCUCUGAGCUUGGCCCCCACCUGGCAUGCCAGCCCGCCAACCCCUGCCACACAGGAAAAGGUCAGGCUCAUGCGGCACAUUCCCUCACACAAUGGCCAGUCUGCUGUGCCAGUCACAUUCUGCCCCUGCCCACCCGCCCACCCACCCACUGCCANNNNNNNNNNNNNNNNNNNNNNNNNNNNNNNNNNNNNNNNNNNNNNNNNNNNNNNNNNNNNNNNNNNNNNNNNNNNNNNNNNNNNNNNNNNNGCUGGGAUUUGAACUCCUGACCUUCGGGAGAGCAGUCGGGUGCUCUUACCCACUGAGCCAUCUCACCAGCCCGAUAAUCCCAGUAUUUGGCAGGUAGAGACAGGAAGAUGAAACAAUUCAAGGUCAUUCUUAGCUCCCUAGGCCAACCACAUGAAAUGGGUCUAUGCAACACAACAAACUUAGGUCACAAUUGGCUGAACUAGACAACCCUCUGGACGCAUCCACACAUGCUGUAAUCACACCCCCUCAAGCCCACCACUGGCCCCCAGUAUCUGAAAGCUCCUGUCAGCAACUCCUAGGAAUCCCAGAUUCUGUCUCUAAGCCCAGCCUCCCUUGUGAACCCUUUCGGCUCCUGCACACAAGCUGAACACCUCUCCUAAGAUGGCUUCCCUGUGAACCAGGCCCUGGCACAGGGACAGAGAUCAAGGCUUGGUGAGAAGUUUCCUGUCCAGAGUCACAAAGCCAGGAUGAGGCAGAGUAAAGACCUAUGCCCUUGGCCUCUACUCUACACCUAACUAAUUUGCGGAGCUGCUGGGGAGAGUUGAGGUGAGCAAGAGGAGUCAAGCUGAAUAAAUUCCAGAGGACCUUGUCGGUGCCAGGCCUGGCCGCGGGACACUAUUUUGCUGACAAGUAAAGGAAAGUUAAAGACAGACUGUCGUAAACUGGGUGUGGCCGGAGACUCCUGUAAUCAAAUAGGAUUAUGAGUUAAAAUGUAGCCUGAGCUACAUGAGACCCUGUCUCAAAAAUACUGAAAAAAUACUGGAAGGCAGGAAGAUUUAUGGUUUAUGUCCAGCAACAUGUUCUGGCUUCAUCCUGAACAUGACCAUC